rnacentral:rRNA from 1 species
AGAGUUUGAUCCUGGCUCAGAGCGAACGCUGGCGGCAUGCUUAACACAUGCAAGUCGCACGGUCAGCAAUGGCAGUGGCGGACGGGUGAGUAACGCGUAGGAAUCUAUCUCUGGGUGGGGGACAACUGUGGGAAACUACGGCUAAUACCGCAUGAUACCUGAGGGUCAAAGGCGCGAGUCGCCUGGAGAGGAGCCUGCGUCUGAUUAGCUAGUUGGUGGGGUAAAGGCUUACCAAGGCGACGAUCAGUAGCUGGUCUGAGAGGAUGAUCAGCCACAUUGGGACUGAGACACGGCCCAAACUCCUACGGGAGGCAGCAGUGGGGAAUAUUGGACAAUGGGGGCAAGCCUGAUCCAGCAAUGCCGCGUGUGUGAAGAAGGUCUUCGGAUUGUAAA